UAAUAGCGAAGAAUCUGUCUAAGAAUAUAUUAUUUAAUCAUAUAUAUUAUGGAUCUUUGAAACUGAUCUGCAUUUGAUUCUUCGUUUAAAUUAAUUGACUUUGCAUUUACCAGUUGUCAAAUCUAACCUAAAAAUGGAGCAAAAUUCUCCCUCAUUCUCGUCAAAUGAUACAGUGUCCAGCCAACAAUCACUGCCAUCUUCUCACGAUCCCGGUUGGAACGAUCCACCAAAAUGGGCACUGUCUUCACAGCAUAAUUCAUCUGGAACCAAGAGACUCUUAAACAAGCGAGUGGCAUUUCCAUUAUCUUCGCAGAUCUCCGCUGCAGGAAAAGUUGAUUCAUCUCCUCCAUCGAAUACUCCUCCCAUUUUACAAUCUUCCAUGACUCCUACAAUAACUACAGCUCCCCAUAAGCCUCUUGUGGCACCUAUCGCUAAAGAAUUUACAACAAAGGAAUCAGAUUUUGACAAAGAUCAAGCUUUGACAGAAGUUUUGGCCAAUCUAAAAUCAGUAAUGACAGAGCAGAAGAUAGAAACGAACAAGACAGAAGAGAUACAAAGAAGAUUAGAUAUCAUGAAAGCUGACUGGCGCGAAAAUAAAUUAAACAAUACGAUACACAGAAGUGUUUUAGAUAUAUCGAAAGCAUUGUUGAGGAAAGAUACUGAAGAAGCUGACAAGAUCCAUAUUGCUCUUAUGACACAGCAUGCGACUGCUUGUCGUACCUGGAUGCCAGCUAUUAGACACAUAAUUUUCGAAUUAAAAAAAGAAUGAAUGUUUCGCAGCCAGAACAGUCAUCUCUAUUAUUUGUUGAAUCAAAGAAAAAAUUUCAGAUUUUUUCCUCCUUAUACAGGGAUCUAUGCAACGACUCGUCCGCCCGAAAAAUCGCGCAAUCGCCCCUUGUGUCAAUUCAUUAAAUAUAAUUUUUAUAAAAAUUUUAUCUAAGAAAUAUAUUCACACACAAAUUGCGCAAUUGCUUAAUUUGAUAAAUUUGUGCCUGUAUAUAACAAAGAAAUAAAAUAACUAUGGGAUGAACUAUCGUUGCAUAUCAAUCUAUAUUUCGGACACACGCGAUGGUUUGUUAUUUUUAUUCUUGUAUAUCAAUUGUGUUAUUUUACAAACGCUCUUGGCAUCGUGUAUUUCGAGUUUUCCCUUUUAUAAAAAACUUUUUAGCAAGAACAACGAUCUUCAAUAUAUUUAUAGACAGUUGGAAGUAGUAGUUAUAUAAUGGCAUUUAAGGUGCGUUAUAAGGCUAAGUUUAUUCCGGAAGAUGAUAUGGAAUUUUGAUUUCCUUCGCACGUGGAAUAUAACAGGUGUCGCAAAAGCUCAUGCUUCUUCUUCGUCAUAUUUUCAAAAUGUUAACCGAUUUAUAAAUUACACUACAAAGUCAAAUUUAAUCAUAAUUCAUUCUUCGUUACGAGAGGGGAGAGAAGAUUAAAAAAUAUAUAUUUCUGAGUUAUAAUCAAUACCACAUAAAAGAUUAUUACAAUAGACGAGAAUUUGUGACACCCAUUAGAUCCGAGAAUUAUGGAAAAAACGCGCGCUCCAAGACUUAAUCAAAACUCGAUACAAAGAUAUCGCGUUUGUCAUUGUAUUGUCAUUUUUGCGGAACGAUACGAAGAGGAGGAUAAUCUUGUUGUAUAUGUUAAAAAAGCCAUCUCGGGCCCCGAUGAUAUUCUACAUUGUACUCUCAUUGCCAUCCGAAAAAGCUGCCUUAUCUAGAAAAUGUAUCAGUGAUCUCGCAUGCGUACCGGAUGUACGCGCGUGUAUGCGUGUGAAGCGAAAGAAACGAGUGUUGCGUUUGAAAUAGUCCCAUUUGCCGUACUCGUACGCAUUUCUAUCACGUGAAGAAAUAGUACCGAACUUAUAGCUUUUAUAGAACGGAGAUACUUUUUUGGAAUAGAUUGGAGAAUUAGUAUAUGUGUAUGUGAAUUUUCGAUAUGAAAUGUAUCGCGACAUUUCCAUGCGCGUUUUCCGGGACCGAUUUAAAAAAAUUCUUUUUAUAAAUCUUUAAAAUAUAAAUAUAUACUCAGCAUACACAUCCUAAAAUUCUUCUAAUUCUUUUUAGAAAGCUUGAAUAAAUUUUACCACGAAUCCUGCUUAGAAUAUUCAAGAGCUGGAAUUUAUACGAUAAAUAUAUAAAAUAGGAGAAAAAGAAUGUUCGAGUAAUACUUUCCGAUUGAAAUUCGUUAGUGUAUGUCUAAAGCUGUUCAUUUAGGAGCAAAAAGUCAAUGUAGCACAUUGAAAUAUUUUCACAUUAAGGAAAUAUCGAUCAACCGGUGCGCACAGGAAAGUCAGAUAAUCUCAAUCGAAACUCGAGCCGCCAGCUUGCUGAAAAAAUAGAAUAACGAUACAACACCACGUUAUCAAACUUAAUUAAUAAAUAAUACAUUAAAUUAGAUUAUAUUACUAGUUAUUACUGUGUUGCCGAUAUUAUUAUUAUUACUAUUACUAUUACUAUUACAUGCGAUAACUAAUGAAUGAUAAUAUAUUAAUGAUUCCUAUAAUACUCCAGUAGGCGAGGGUUUGUCGCGUCUCGCUUCUUUCUUUUUUUCAUUCCACCGAUUUGCGGACACAAAUGCAAAAAGGAAAGAUAGGACUCGACUGGUACGCGAGCCAAAAUCAAAAACCCGUCAUAAUUCACUCCCCAUUAUCAGCUAAAAUACAAAUUUUUGCGCUGUAAAGUGCUACGCUUAUUUGAAAAAGUCGAAGAUAGUCGUUGAAAUAUAACGUCAUAGCGAAAAUAAAUAAAUAA